GACGAACGCUGGCGGCGUGCUUAACACAUGCAAGUCGAACGGAAAGGCCCUGCUUUUGUGGGGUGCUCGAGUGGCGAACGGGUGAGUAACACGUGAGUAACCUGCCCUUGACUUUGGGAUAACUUCAGGAAACUGGGGCUAAUACCGGAUAGGAGCUCCUGCUGCAUGGUGGGGGUUGGAAAGUUUCGGCGGUUGGGGAUGGACUCGCGGCUUAUCAGCUUGUUGGUGGGGUAGUGGCUUACCAAGGCUUUGACGGGUAGCCGGCCUGAGAGGGUGACCGGCCACAUUGGGACUGAGAUACGGCCCAGACUCCUACGGGAGGCAGGAGUGGGGAAUAUUGCAACAUGGGCGGAAGGCUGAUGGAGCAACGCCGCGUGCGGGAUGACGGCCUUCGGGUUGUAAACCGCUUUCGCCUGUGACGAAGCGUGAGUGACGGUAAUGGGUAAAGAAGCACCGGCUAACUACGUG
rnacentral:rRNA from 1 species